ACAUGGUGAGAAAAAAAAAAAAAGAAAACUAAUCCAACAUAUCAAUAACAGGCAUCAACAUACAUCUUAUCAUUGUCUAGUAUAAUUGAACAUGCUUAUCAUGUUAAGAUUGACCGUGCUCUAAAAGAAAUAAACUUUCCAUGCUAAUCCUGCA